AGCGUACACGGUGGAUGCCCUGGCAGUCAGAGGCGAUGAAGGGCGUGCUAAUCUGCGAUAAGCGCCGGUAAGGUGAUAUGAACCGUUAUAACCGGCGAUACCCGAAUGGGGAAACCCAGUGUGAUUCGUCACACUAUCAUUAACUGAAUCCAUAGGUUAAUGAGGCGAACCGGGGGAACUGAAACAUCUAAGUACCCCGAGGAAAAGAAAUCAACCGAGAUUCCCCCAGUAGCGGCGAGCGAACGGGGAGGAGCCCAGAGCCUGAAUCAGCAUGUGUGUUAGUGGAAGCGUCUGGAAAGGCGCGCGAUACAGGGUGACAGCCCCGUACACAAAAGCGCAUGUGCUGUGAGCUCGAUGAGUAGGGCGGGACACGUGGUAUCCUGUCUGAAUAUGGGGGGACCAUCCUCCAAGGCUAAAUACUCCUGACUGACCGAUAGUGAACCAGUACCGUGAGGGAAAGGCGAAAAGAACCCCGGCGAGGGGAGUGAAAAAGAACCUGAAACCGUGUACGUACAAGCAGUGGGAGCACAGGUUUACCUGUGUGACUGCGUACCUUUUGUAUAAUGGGUCAGCGACUUAUAUUCUGUAGCAAGGUUAACCGUAUAGGGGAGCCGGAGGGAAACCGAGUCUUAAUUGGGCGUUAAGUUGCAGGGUAUAGACCCGAAACCCGGUGAUCUAGCCAUGGGCAGGUUGAAGGUUGGGUAACACUAACUGGAGGACCGAACCGACUAAUGUUGAAAAAUUAGCGGAUGACCUGUGGCUGGGGGUGAAAGGCCAAUCAAACCGGGAGAUAGCUGGUUCUCCCCGAAAGCUAUUUAGGUAGCGCCUCGUGAAUUCAUCUCCGGGGGUAGAGCACUGUUUCGGCUAGGGGGCCAUCCCGGCUUACCAACCCGAUGCAAACUGCGAAUACCGGAGAAUGUUAUCACGGGAGACACACGGCGGGUGCUAACGUCCGUCGUGAAGAGGGAAACAACCCAGACCGCCAGCUAAGGUCCCAAAGUCAUGGUUAAGUGGGAAACGAUGUGGGAAGGCCCAGACAGCCAGGAUGUUGGCUUAGAAGCAGCCAUCAUUUAAAGAAAGCGUAAUAGCUCACUGGUCGAGUCGGCCUGCGCGGAAGAUGUAACGGGGCUAAACCAUGCACCGAAGCUGCGGCAGCGAACGUAUCACCCAAGACAACUUUACGGAGUUGACGAUUGACGGAGCGAAGCGACGUCAAAGCGUUCAUUAAAGUCGAGUUGGCUUAGGGAUACGUUCGUUGGGUAGGGGAGCGUUCUGUAAGCCUGUGAAGGUGUGUCGUGAGGCAUGCUGGAGGUAUCAGAAGUGCGAAUGCUGACAUAAGUAACGAUAAAGCGGGUGAAAAGCCCGCUCGCCGGAAGACCAAGGGUUCCUGUCCAACGUUAAUCGGGGCAGGGUGAGUCGACCCCUAAGGCGAGGCCGAAAGGCGUAGUCGAUGGGAAACGGGUUAAUAUUCCCGUACUUGGUGUUACUGCGAAGGGGGGACGGAGAAGGCUAUGUUGGCCGGGCGACGGUUGUCCCGGUUUAAGCGUGUAGGUGUGUGUUCCAGGUAAAUCCGGUUCACUUUAACACUGAGGCGUGACGACGAGGCACUACGGUGCUGAAGCAACAAAUGCCCUGCUUCCAGGAAAAGCCUCUAAGCAUCAGGUAACAUCAAAUCGUACCCCAAACCGACACAGGUGGUCAGGUAGAGAAUACCAAGGCGCUUGAGAGAACUCGGGUGAAGGAACUAGGCAAAAUGGUGCCGUAACUUCGGGAGAAGGCACGCUGACACGUAGGUGAAGUGAUUUACUCAUGGAGCUGAAGUCAGUCGAAGAUACCAGCUGGCUGCAACUGUUUAUUAAAAACACAGCACUGUGCAAACACGAAAGUGGACGUAUACGGUGUGACGCCUGCCCGGUGCCGGAAGGUUAAUUGAUGGGGUCAGCGCAAGCGAAGCUCCUGAUCGAAGCCCCGGUAAACGGCGGCCGUAACUAUAACGGUCCUAAGGUAGCGAAAUUCCUUGUCGGGUAAGUUCCGACCUGCACGAAUGGCGUAAUGAUGGCCAGGCUGUCUCCACCCGAGACUCAGUGAAAUUGAACUCGCUGUGAAGAUGCAGUGUACCCGCGGCAAGACGGAAAGACCCCGUGAACCUUUACUAUAGCUUGACACUGAACAUUGAGCCUUGAUGUGUAGGAUAGGUGGGAGGCUUUGAAGUGUGGACGCCAGUCUGCAUGGAGCCGACCUUGAAAUACCACCCUUUAAUGUUUGAUGUUCUAACGUGGACCCGUAAUCCGGGUUGCGGACAGUGUCUGGUGGGUAGUUUGACUGGGGCGGUCUCCUCCUAAAGAGUAACGGAGGAGCACGAAGGUUGGCUAAUCCUGGUCGGACAUCAGGAGGUUAGUGCAAUGGCAUAAGCCAGCUUGACUGCGAGCGUGACGGCGCGAGCAGGUGCGAAAGCAGGUCAUAGUGAUCCGGUGGUUCUGAAUGGAAGGGCCAUCGCUCAACGGAUAAAAGGUACUCCGGGGAUAACAGGCUGAUACCGCCCAAGAGUUCAUAUCGACGGCGGUGUUUGGCACCUCGAUGUCGGCUCAUCACAUCCUGGGGCUGAAGUAGGUCCCAAGGGUAUGGCUGUUCGCCAUUUAAAGUGGUACGCGAGCUGGGUUUAGAACGUCGUGAGACAGUUCGGUCCCUAUCUGCCGUGGGCGCUGGAGAACUGAGGGGGGCUGCUCCUAGUACGAGAGGACCGGAGUGGACGCAUCACUGGUGUUCGGGUUGUCAUGCCAAUGGCACUGCCCGGUAGCUAAAUGCGGAAGAGAUAAGUGCUGAAAGCAUCUAAGCACGAAACUUGCCCCGAGAUGAGUUCU
rnacentral:rRNA from 1 species